AACGAACGCUGGCGGCAUGCCUAACACAUGCAAGUCGAACGAGACCUUCGGGUCUAGUGGCGCACGGGUGCGUAACGCGUGGGAACCUGCCCUUAGGUUCGGAAUAACUCCCCGAAAGGGGUGCUAAUACCGGAUAAUGUCUUCGGACCAAAGAUUUAUCGCCUUUGGAUGGGCCCGCGUUGGAUUAGCUAGUUGGUAGGGUAAAAGCCUACCAAGGCGACGAUCCAUAGCUGGUCUGAGAGGAUGAUCAGCCACACUGGGACUGAGACACGGCCCAGACUCCUACGGGAGGGAGCAGUGGGGAAUAUUGGACGAUGGGCGAAAGCCUGAUACAGCAGUGCCGCGUGAGUGAUGAAGGCCUUAGGGUUGUAAAGCUCUUUUACCCGGGAUGAUAAUGACAGUACCGGGAGAAUAAGCUCCGGCUAACUCCGUG
rnacentral:rRNA from 1 species